rnacentral:rRNA from 1 species
GUGAGGAAUUUUCCGCAAUGGGCGAAAGCCUGACGGAGCGACGCCGUGUGUGGGAUGACGUUUUUCGGAAUGUAAACCACUGUCAGAGGGGACGAUAUUGACGGUACCCUCAGAGGAAGCCCCGGCUAACUACGUGCCAGCAGCCGCGGUAAUACGUAGGGGGCAAGCGUUGUCCGGAAUUAUUGGGCGUAAAGGGCGUGUAGGCGGUCUUGUAAGUCAGAUGUUAAAUCUACGGGCUCAACCCGUAGCCGCAUUUGAUACUGCUUGACUAGAGAAUGGUAGAGGUAAGUGGAACUUCCAGUGUAGCGGUGAAAUGCGUAGAUAUUGGAAGGAACACCAGUGGCGAAGGCGACUUACUGGGCCAUUUCUGACGUUGAGACGCGAAAGCUAGGGGAGCAAACGGGAUUAGAAACCCCGGUAGUCC